CCUACGGGUGGCAGCAGUGGGGAAUAUUGCACAAUGGGGGAAACCCUGAUGCAGCAACGCCGCGUGAGUGAAGAAGUAUUUCGGUAUGUAAAGCUCUAUCAGCAGGGAAGAAGAAAGACGGUACCUGACUAAGAAGCCCCGGCUAACUACGUGCCAGCAGCCGCGGUAAUACGUAGGGGGCAAGCGUUGUCCGGAUUUACUGGGUGUAAAGGGCGUGCAGCCGGAGAGACAAGUCAGAUGUGAAAUCCGCAGGCUUAACCUGUAGAAAGCAUAUAAAACUGUUUAACUAGAGUGCAGGAGAGGUAAGUGGAAUUCCUAGUGUAGCGGUGAAAUGCGUAGAGAUUAGGAAGAACACCAGUGGCGAAGGCGACUUACUGGACUGUAACUGACGCUGAGGCAUGAGAGCAUGGGGAGCAAACAGGAUUAGAUACCCCAGUAGUC
rnacentral:rRNA from 1 species